rnacentral:rRNA from 1 species
GUUCCAUUCCGAACCCGGCAGUUAAGCCCUCCAGCGCCGAUGGUACUGCAGGGGGUACCUGUGGGAGAGUAGGUCGCUGCCAAGG